CGCGUAGGCGGGUAAGCAAGUCAGAUGUGAAAUACCGGGGCUCAACCCCGGGGCUGCAUUUGAAACUGUUUAUCUUGAGUGCAGGAGAGGGAAGCGGAAUUCCUAGUGUAGCGGUGAAAUGCGUAGAUAUUAGGAGGAACACCGGUGGCGAAGGCGGCUUCCUGGACUGUAACUGACGCUGAGGCGCGAAAGCGUGGGGAGCAAACA
rnacentral:rRNA from 1 species